CAUUACUUGAUGUACCAGAAGACAUUGACUGGGCAUGUAUUUCGGGGAAUUGAUUUUGUUAGUUUUGUUGAUUGUGAUGCUGAUGUUGCCAUAUGUUGUGUGCAGAGUGGUGGUGAUAUAAUUAUGGAAGUUGUACCAUCAUCAGUUGAAAGUAAUAAUUCAGAGAAAUCUGAAGUAUCAGAUGGCGAAUCUUGGAUCCUCCCAGUCUGGCAGAAGCACUUAGUGCACUGGAAGUAACACAAUGUUACAUAAGGUUAAUAAACAUUAGUGAUGACAAGAUGUGUACAGUAGUUGCAUAUGAAGGCUCGAUCUAUGAAUGUAGUAUUGCAUCUAAAAAACAAUUUCUUUAUGCCAAAAUAACUGUAUUUGCCCAUCAUCG
rnacentral:lncRNA from 1 species